GCCUCUUGCAUUCUUUUCCAAGGCAGGAAAGAUAAUUGGUAAUAUAACUUUACGAUUUUGUUUGAUUAGGUUCUCAACAUGAUCAUUGUUCCACAGGAACAAAGCCCUCUCAGCGACCUGAAAGUGUGAGCUGCUCAAGCAACGAUUUAUCCGACGAAACAAGGGAACCAUACAGCGCUGAAACUCUGGAGGCUGAGUUGCUUCUAAGACCUCUUCCAGCUCACCUAUGAACAUUACCUCCUUUGAACUGUUUGUAAUAGGCCAAUAUUUCAACAAACCUCUUAUGACAGUAUCAGCAAGCUUGCAGUCCUUUUCCACAAAUUGUGUUAUGCAGUAAGAUAACUGCUGAUGAUACAUUUGUACGCAUUUUGGUUUGUGAAGUGGAAUAAGAGCUCGAACAAGGAACAACUUGUGUUCUUCCUUUAGUGGUAGAGCAAAUCCAUUGAUUAUACUGCCCAAAAUUUCUAAAAGUUCUGCUAUUCCAUUAUGCUUCUCAGUUUCAAAGAUAAACCGGUAAAAUAUAUUGUUGAUUGAUUUCCUAAUAAAAGGGC
rnacentral:misc_RNA from 1 species